UACAGAGGUGGCAAGCGUUGUUCGGAAUUACUGGGCGUAAAGGGCGCGUAGGCGGCCUUCUAAGUCGAACGUGAAAUCCCCGGGCUCAACCCGGGAACUGCGUCCGAUACUGGAAGGCUUGAAUCCGGGAGAGGGAUGCGGAAUUCCAGGUGUAGCGGUGAAAUGCGUAGAUAUCGGGAGGAACACCAAUGGCGAAGGCAGCUCGCUGGGACGGUACUGACGCUGAGACGCGAAAGCGUGGGGAGCAAACAGG
rnacentral:rRNA from 1 species